GGUUAAGCGACUAAGCGUACACGGUGGAUGCCCUGGCAGUCAGAGGCGAUGAAGGACGUGCUAAUCUGCGAUAAGCGUCGGUAAGGUGAUAUGAACCGUUAUAACCGGCGAUUUCCGAAUGGGGAAACCCAGUGUGUUUCGACACACUAUCAUUAACUGAAUCCAUAGGUUAAUGAGGCGAACCGGGGGAACUGAAACAUCUAAGUACCCCGAGGAAAAGAAAUCAACCGAGAUUCUCCCAGUAGCGGCGAGCGAACGGGGAGCAGCCCAGAGCCUGAAUCAGUGUGUGUGUUAGUGGAAGCGUCUGGAAAGGCGCGCGAUACAGGGUGACAGCCCCGUACACAAAAAUGCACAUGCUGUGAGCUCGAUGAGUAGGGCGGGACACGUGGUAUCCUGUCUGAAUAUGGGGGGACCAUCCUCCAAGGCUAAAUACUCCUGACUGACCGAUAGUGAACCAGUACCGUGAGGGAAAGGCGAAAAGAACCCCGGCGAGGGGAGUGAAAAAGAACCUGAAACCGUGUACGUACAAGCAGUGGGAGCACGCUUAGGCGUGUGACUGCGUACCUUUUGUAUAAUGGGUCAGCGACUUAUAUUCUGUAGCAAGGUUAACCGAAUAGGGGAGCCGAAGGGAAACCGAGUCUUAACUGGGCGUUAAGUUGCAGGGUAUAGACCCGAAACCCGGUGAUCUAGCCAUGGGCAGGUUGAAGGUUGGGUAACACUAACUGGAGGACCGAACCGACUAAUGUUGAAAAAUUAGCGGAUGACUUGUGGCUGGGGGUGAAAGGCCAAUCAAACCGGGAGAUAGCUGGUUCUCCCCGAAAGCUAUUUAGGUAGCGCCUCGUGAAUUCAUCUCCGGGGGUAGAGCACUGUUUCGGCAAGGGGGUCAUCCCGACUUACCAACCCGAUGCAAACUGCGAAUACCGGAGAAUGUUAUCACGGGAGACACACGGCGGGUGCUAACGUCCGUCGUGAAGAGGGAAACAACCCAGACCGCCAGCUAAGGUCCCAAAGUCAUGGUUAAGUGGGAAACGAUGUGGGAAGGCCCAGACAGCCAGGAUGUUGGCUUAGAAGCAGCCAUCAUUUAAAGAAAGCGUAAUAGCUCACUGGUCGAGUCGGCCUGCGCGGAAGAUGUAACGGGGCUAAACCAUGCACCGAAGCUGCGGCAGCGACACUAUGUGUUGUUGGGUAGGGGAGCGUUCUGUAAGCCUGUGAAGGUGUGCUGUGAGGCAUGCUGGAGGUAUCAGAAGUGCGAAUGCUGACAUAAGUAACGAUAAAGCGGGUGAAAAGCCCGCUCGCCGGAAGACCAAGGGUUCCUGUCCAACGUUAAUCGGGGCAGGGUGAGUCGACCCCUAAGGCGAGGCCGAAAGGCGUAGUCGAUGGGAAACAGGUUAAUAUUCCUGUACUUGGUGUUACUGCGAAGGGGGACGGAGAAGGCUAUGUUGGCCGGGCGACGGUUGUCCCGGUUUAAGCGUGUAGGCUGGUUUUCCAGGCAAAUCCGGAAAAUCAAGGCUGAGGCGUGAUGACGAGGCACUACGGUGCUGAAGCAACAAAUGCCCUGCUUCCAGGAAAAGCCUCUAAGCAUCAGGUAACAUCAAAUCGUACCCCAAACCGACACAGGUGGUCAGGUAGAGAAUACCAAGGCGCUUGAGAGAACUCGGGUGAAGGAACUAGGCAAAAUGGUGCCGUAACUUCGGGAGAAGGCACGCUGAUAUGUAGGUGAAGUCCCUCGCGGAUGGAGCUGAAAUCAGUCGAAGAUACCAGCUGGCUGCAACUGUUUAUUAAAAACACAGCACUGUGCAAACACGAAAGUGGACGUAUACGGUGUGACGCCUGCCCGGUGCCGGAAGGUUAAUUGAUGGGGUUAGCCGCAAGGCGAAGCUCUUGAUCGAAGCCCCGGUAAACGGCGGCCGUAACUAUAACGGUCCUAAGGUAGCGAAAUUCCUUGUCGGGUAAGUUCCGACCUGCACGAAUGGCGUAAUGAUGGCCAGGCUGUCUCCACCCGAGACUCAGUGAAAUUGAACUCGCUGUGAAGAUGCAGUGUACCCGCGGCAAGACGGAAAGACCCCGUGAACCUUUACUAUAGCUUGACACUGAACAUUGAGCCUUGAUGUGUAGGAUAGGUGGGAGGCUUUGAAGUGUGGACGCCAGUCUGCAUGGAGCCGACCUUGAAAUACCACCCUUUAAUGUUUGAUGUUCUAACGUUGACCCGUAAUCCGGGUUGCGGACAGUGUCUGGUGGGUAGUUUGACUGGGGCGGUCUCCUCCUAAAGAGUAACGGAGGAGCACGAAGGUUGGCUAAUCCUGGUCGGACAUCAGGAGGUUAGUGCAAUGGCAUAAGCCAGCUUGACUGCGAGCGUGACGGCGCGAGCAGGUGCGAAAGCAGGUCAUAGUGAUCCGGUGGUUCUGAAUGGAAGGGCCAUCGCUCAACGGAUAAAAGGUACUCCGGGGAUAACAGGCUGAUACCGCCCAAGAGUUCAUAUCGACGGCGGUGUUUGGCACCUCGAUGUCGGCUCAUCACAUCCUGGGGCUGAAGUAGGUCCCAAGGGUAUGGCUGUUCGCCAUUUAAAGUGGUACGCGAGCUGGGUUUAGAACGUCGUGAGACAGUUCGGUCCCUAUCUGCCGUGGGCGCUGGAGAACUGAGGGGGGCUGCUCCUAGUACGAGAGGACCGGAGUGGACGCAUCACUGGUGUUCGGGUUGUCAUGCCAAUGGCACUGCCCGGUAGCUAAAUGCGGAAGAGAUAAGUGCUGAAAGCAUCUAAGCACGAAACUUGCCCCGAGAUGAGUUCUCCCUGACUCCUUGAGAGUCCUGAAGGAACGUUGAAGACGACGACGUUGAUAGGCCGGGUGUGUAAGCGCAGCGAUGCGUUGAGCUAACCGGUACUAAUGAACCGUGAGGCUUAACCUU
rnacentral:rRNA from 1 species